CAUGAUGGUGUCCGGGUCGAGAAGCCCGGGCUGAAAAGGGAACACGGUGCGGGCGACCCGCCCCAUUCCGUGACUGCCCCCGCAACUGUGAGCGGCGAGCGACCCCGAUGAACGCCACUGGGCCCCGAGAGGCCCGGGAAGGUUCGGGAAAGCAGCGACCCGCAAGUCAGGAGACCUGCCAUCUC
rnacentral:ncRNA from 1 species